AUAACCCUGAGAGAGGCUGGAGCCUCUCGUUUUUUGUGCAGUUUAGGAGCUAAAGGGAACAGAAUGGAUAAAAUGGAACAAAUGUGUUUUCUAAUCUGUUAGACUGUAUCUAGAAAGGGGAAAUUAUGAUUAAAGAAUUGUAUGAAGAAGUCCAAGGGACUGUGUAUAAGUGUAGAAAUGAAUAUUACCUUCAUUUAUGGGAAUUGUCGGAUUGGGACCAAGAAGGCAUGCUCUGCUUACAUGAAUUGAUUAGUAGAGAAGAAGGACUGGCAGACGAUAUUCCACGUUUAAGGAAAUAUUUCAAAACCAAGUUUCGAAAUCGAAUUUUAGACUAUAUCCGUAAGCAGGAAAGUCAGAAGCGUAGAUACGAUAAAGAACCCUAUGAAGAAGUGGGUGAGAUCAGUCAUCGUAUAAGUGAGGGAGGUCUCUGGCUAGAUGAUUAUUAUCUCUUUCAUGAAACACUAAGAGAUUAUAGAAACAAACAAAGUAAAGAGAAACAAGAAGAACUAGAACGCGUCUUAAGCAAUGAACGAUUUCGAGGGCGUCAAAGAGUAUUAAGAGACUUACGCAUUGUGUUUAAGGAGUUUACUAUCCGUACCCACUAGUAAGUCAUGCAAAAAAAAUGAAAAAAAUUAGAAAAAGUAGUUGACAAAGUUUGAAAAGACUGUAUAAUAGUAAGAGUUGAAAAUAACAACUCAGGUCCGUUGGUCAAGGGGUUAAGACACCGCCUUUUCACGGCGGUAACACGGGUUCGAAUCCCGUACGGACUAUGGUAUGUUGCGGUUGGAACACUUGAUGAAAAAAGUUUAAAAAAACUUAAAAAUCUUCAAAAAAGUGUUGACAAGUGAAAGUGGCUGUGAUAUACUAAUAUAGUUGUCGCUUGAGAGAAGCAAGUGACAAAGACCUUUGAAAACUGAACAAGACGAACCAAUGUGCAGGGCGCUACAACAUAAGUUGUAGUACUGAACAAUGAAAAAAACAAUAAAUCUGUCAGUGACAGAAAUGAGUGAGAACUCAAACUUUUAAUGAGAGUUUGAUCCUGGCUCAGGACGAACGCUGGCGGCGUGCCUAAUACAUGCAAGUAGAACGCUGAAGGAGGAGCUUGCUUCUCUGGAUGAGUUGCGAACGGGUGAGAAUCCUGUCCACCGUAAGACUAAGGUUCCAGGGGAAGCUCGUCCGCCCUGGGUUAGUCGGGACCUAAGGAGAGACCGAAAGGUGUAUCCGUUGGACAACAGGUUGAUAUUCCUGUACUAGAGUAUGUAGUGAUGGAGGGACGCAGUAGGCUAACUAAAGCAGACGAUUGGAAGAGUCUGUCUAAGCAGUGAGGUGUGAAUUGAGUCAAAUGCUUAAUUCUAUAACAUUGAGCUGUGAUGGGGAGCGAAGUUUAGUAGCGAAGUUAGUGACGUCACACUGCCAAGAAAAGCUUCUAGCGUUUAAACAUACUCUACCCGUACCGCAAACCGACACAGGUAGUCGAGGCGAGUAGCCUCAGGUGAGCGAGAGAACUCUCGUUAAGGAACUCGGCAAAAUGACCCCGUAACUUCGGGAGAAGGGGUGCUGACUUAAAGUCAGCCGCAGUGAAUAGGCCCAAGCAACUGUUUAUCAAAACACAGCUCUCUGCUAAAUCGUAAGAUGAUGUAUAGGGGGUGACGCCUGCCCGGUGCUGGAAGGUUAAGAGGAGUGCUUAGCGUAAGCGAAGGUAUGAAUUGAAGCCCCAGUAAACGGCGGCCGUAACUAUAACGGUCCUAAGGUAGCGAAAUUCCUUGUCGGGUAAGUUCCGACCCGCACGAAAGGCGUAAUGAUUUGGGCACUGUCUCAACGAGAGACUCGGUGAAAUUUUAGUACCUGUGAAGAUGCAGGUUACCCGCGACAGGACGGAAAGACCCCAUGGAGCUUUACUGCAGUUUGAUAUUGAGUGUCUGUACCACAUGUACAGGAUAGGUAGGAGUCUAAGAGAUCGGGACGCCAGUUUCGAAGGAGACGCUGUUGGGAUACUACCCUUGUGUUAUGGCCACUCUAACCCAGAUAGGUGAUCCCUAUCGGAGACAGUGUCUGACGGGCAGUUUGACUGGGGCGGUCGCCUCCUAAAAGGUAACGGAGGCGCCCAAAGGUUCCCUCAGAAUGGUUGGAAAUCAUUCGCAGAGUGUAAAGGUAUAAGGGAGCUUGACUGCGAGAGCUACAACUCGAGCAGGGACGAAAGUCGGGCUUAGUGAUCCGGUGGUUCCGUAUGGAAGGGCCAUCGCUCAACGGAUAAAAGCUACCCUGGGGAUAACAGGCUUAUCUCCCCCAAGAGUUCACAUCGACGGGGAGGUUUGGCACCUCGAUGUCGGCUCGUCGCAUCCUGGGGCUGUAGUCGGUCCCAAGGGUUGGGCUGUUCGCCCAUUAAAGCGGCACGCGAGCUGGGUUCAGAACGUCGUGAGACAGUUCGGUCCCUAUCCGUCGCGGGCGUAGGAAAUUUGAGAGGAUCUGCUCCUAGUACGAGAGGACCAGAGUGGACUUACCGCUGGUGUACCAGUUGUCUUGCCAAAGGCAUCGCUGGGUAGCUAUGUAGGGAAGGGAUAAACGCUGAAAGCAUCUAAGUGUGAAACCCACCUCAAGAUGAGAUUUCCCAUGAUUAUAUAUCAGUAAGAGCCCUGAGAGAUGAUCAGGUAGAUAGGUUAGAAGUGGAAGUGUGGCGACACAUGUAGCGGACUAAUACUAAUAGCUCGAGGACUUAUCCA
rnacentral:rRNA from 1 species